CUCAAACUCUGGUCAACCCAAAGACUCAUUAAGCCUUAUGUUUUCAUCCCGCAGGCGUAUAUAUAAGACCUGCUAGGAGAGACUGAAUGCUCCAUAGGAGCUCUGCCCGAAGGGUAGCGACCCCCUCUGACAUAGACCUGAACCAAGGGGUGAUAAUCCCCUUGGACAGUACCUACGAUUCGACUGAUUAUAUUUACAUAAAUAACCUGAGUCUAUGGGCCUGAAGUUGACCAUUGGGAACACUUCAACCCCGAACCAAAAUUUAUUUGUUUGAACAUAAACCAAUUUAAUUUAAGUAUUUACAUAGCGAUAAUUUUCCAUGAGAAAAUUGUUCGAUAAUGGUUCGACAGUCUUUCUUGACAAUUUGUUCUUGAACAGCCCUUGCAUAACAUUAGUUAGUACCCAUACAAUGCACCAGAUACCAGGAACAUGAACGGGUGGGUGGGUGGGUGGAAAUUUUCUUUCUCUGUAACAAGACAUUGCUCUUUGUUGGGAUAUUUGUCAAAGUGAACUCCCUUAUCACAUUGACCUUUGUUCUGCGUGUUCGUUGUUGACAUAUGAUUGGUCAGUUGAUCUUUCAUUCGGUUUACACAUGCCCAGAGAAACAUUUGAACUUUGGACUAUUGGAUAUCGCCUUUUUGUGGCUGUUGACAAGCUUAUCUUGUUACUAUGAGAUUAUAACCAGGUUUGAAGGUGACAAACGUGUUGUCUCAUUAACUUGAAUUUAUAUAUUGUUAUAUAUAAAUUUGCUUUAAUAAUUCAAGCACGUUAGGUGAAAGAACAGCCCGAAAAUAAGUAAAACACACACCAAAUCAUUGUGGGAGAAUGGGUUCAGGGGGAAGUGAACCAAUUAUAUACAUUAUACUCUCAAACUCUGGUCAACCCAAAGACUCAUUAAGCCUUAUGUUUUCAUCCCGCAGGCGUAUAUAUAAGACCUGCUAGGAGAGACUGAAUGCUCCAUAGGAGCUCUGCCCGAAGGGUAGCGACCCCCUCUGACAUAGACCUGAACCAAGGGGUGAUAAUCCCCUUGGACAGUACCUACGAUUCGACUGAUUAUAUUUACAUAAAUAACCUGAGUCUAUGGGCCUGAAGUUGACCAUUGGGAACACUACAACCCCACAAAUACACAGCAUGUGUAUUCCCCAUAGACGAACUCCCACCACAGCUGUAUUUGUAUACAAGACAGCUGCUGCCAGAUGAUAGUUAGACAUAUAUUUGGGUGUUACCAUCACUCAUACUAUAGCUGGAUAGUCAGGGAGGCCAGAAAAAACCUGGAAUAUACAGGAAACCUGGAUGGGGCCAAGACAACCAGCAGCUUCCCCACAAAGCUUCUAUCUUACAAUUUUUUAAUUGGAGGGUUGGUAACACGACAAACAAAGCUCACUAUCGAGGCACAUUUUAUUUAUUUUUAUUUAUUUUUUUUUUUUUUUAAAGUUAAUGUGUUUACAAAUACGUUUUGCACAACAUUUAUUUGUUAACCACCCUUAUUUUAUUUCAAUUAUGAUCAGUGGAACUUUCUCGAAUUAUGUGACAUUACUCUCAGAAAAAUAGCUUAUUCAUUACUUUAAUUCAAAAUAGCAAGACCAAAAUUUUGCGAUCGAACAUCCAAUCAUGCAUGCAUGAUAUUAGCAGAAAGAAAUUGUAAGAAUAUGUAUUUGGUAGUCAAAAUAGAUUAUAUGCAGUAAAUAAUAGUACAUCAAAGGAUUUUCAAUUUUCAUAAGCGUAGGCAUACAUGGUAUCGUACCAAUCUUUCCUGAUAUCCAUCUUGCCGAUUCAUCGCAAAUGUACCUAAACGUAUAUCAUGUGCAGAGUUUUAAGUCUCAAAUUUCGUUCACAAAUGAGCUUGCUUUCUUAAGUUUUGAACAGUAAAGUAUUGAAAAUGUAUGCAGGUCGAAUUAAUUUUGUGAAAUAGCUGAAAAAGAAGUUUUAUAAUUCUACUUUUGAGCGAUUGAAUACAGUUUAAUGUAAGGCCUGAUUGAAACCCAAUCCAACGCCAAAUCUGAGGCGUAAUCUGAAGCCUUAAACUGCGGCUAACCUCAAGGUAGUAAUAAAAUUGUCAUUGGAAUUUUUGAUCGACAAAUAUAAAUACACCAGAAUGUUGUUAUAAAAUAGACGAAUUUUAAUACAUUUUGGUUGGUUUGAGAUGCGGAAUACGAAACAAACGUGUCAAUGCACCGCAUACUUACGCGCCGAAUACCGCUUCACUUUAGGAAGCAUGUGCAUUGAGACAUGGAAUGAUAUCAAUUGAACGCUUGUUGAUUUCGUGUUUAGCGGCUUUAGCCUAUCGAUCUUGUUGUUAUUCCCCCAGCGGCGGUUUCAUUUAAUGGUAAUAACUUCGUCGGGACUUGGGCCAACGUAUUCCUUUGUCCACCAGAAGAGUAAAAGCGCUUGUCCGGUAGAGUUCUAUUUGAAUAAACUGCGUCUCACUGAAUUAUCAUACUGAGUUACUGACCAAAUUUUCUUUAAUAUAACCAUGAUAUGUCAAUUCCAGCGUUCAUAAACUCUUUUCUGUCACAUUGUCUCAGUUCAUUCGAUGUCCGUAAUUCUUUACAGCUCCGCACCAAGUCAAAUUUUCUUUCUCGGUAACAAGACAUUGCUCUUUGUUGGGAUAUUUGUCAAAGUGAACUCCCUUAUCACAUUGACCUUUGUUCUGCGUGUUCGUUGUUGACAUAUGAUUGGUCAGUUGAUCUUUCAUUCGGUUUUACACAUGCCCAGAGAAACAUUUGAACUUUGGACUAUUGGAUAUCGUCUUUUUGUGGCUGUUGACAAGCUUAUCUUGUUACUAUGAGAUUAUAACCAGGUUUGAAGGUGACAAACGUGUUGUCUCAUUAACUUGAAU
rnacentral:lncRNA from 1 species